GUCUGGGUGUUUUUCCUUAGAAACAAAGGCUUCCAUCUUGCCACCCUACCCCACAGCCCAGACAUAUGAAUAAUAUGGGAAAUUGUUGUCACAUGUAGGACACAACCAGUACUUGCC